rnacentral:rRNA from 1 species
CACGCCGUAAACGGUGGAUGCUGGAUGUGGGGACCAUUCCACGGUCUCCGUGUCGGAGCCAACGCGUUAAGCAUCCCGCCUGGGGAGUACGGCCGCAAGGCUAAAACUCAAAGAAAUUGA